rnacentral:rRNA from 1 species
UACGAAGGGGGCUAGCGUUGUUCGGAAUUACUGGGCGUAAAGGGCGCGUAGGCGGCCUGCUAAGUCGAACGUGAAAUCCCUGGGCUCAACCCAGGAACUGCGUCCGAUACUGGUUGGCUUGAAUCCGGGAGAGGGAUGUGGAAUUCCAGGUGUAGCGGUGAAAUGCGUAGAGAUCGGGAGGAACACCAGUGGCGAAGGCGGCUACCUGGACCAGCACUGACACUGAGGCACGAAAGCGUGGGGAGCAAACAGG